AGCAAAAAUGGGAAAGAUAUUGCCAUUGCUGCUCUGUAGGCCAAAUUACUAUUGAAAAGGAUCAUGGACACCUUACUAGAACUCCUCACAUUGAGAUGGUGUGCUCCUUUUUACCAGGACAAAUUGGAGGGAACAAGGACUACUAUAGCCCCCACAAAACAGCUAUCAAAGAGCCUAAUUGAUAGGCAAAACUAGAAAAAAACCCUUGACACCAGGAUCAAAGAAGUCAAGCUAAGUAUAACCUUUCUAAGACAAGCUGCUGAAACACGUUUAGCUUUAACAUUUGCUCCAAAAAGAAGCAUCACCAAAAGAAAUGCUCUAGAACAGUGGUGGCAAACCUUUUUUGGCUCCCAUGCCGAUAAUU